rnacentral:rRNA from 1 species
GACGAACGCUGGCGGCGUGCCUAAUACAUGCAAGUAGAACGCUGAAGGAGGAGCUUGCUUCUCCGGAUGAGUUGCGAACGGGUGAGUAACGCGUAGGUAACCUGCCUGGUAGCGGGGGAUAACUAUUGGAAACGAUAGCUAAUACCGCAUAACAGUAGAUAUCGCAUGAUAUCUGCUUGAAAGGUGCAAUUGCAUCACUACCAGAUGGACCUGCGUUGUAUUAGCUAGUUGGUGAGGUAACGGCUCACCAAGGCGACGAUACAUAGCCGACCUGAGAGGGUGAUCGGCCACACUGGGACUGAGACACGGCCCAGACUCCUACGGGAGGCAGCAGUAGGGAAUCUUCGGCAAUGGACAGAAGUCUGACCGAGCAACGCCGCGUGAGUGAAGAAGGUUUUCGGAUCGUAAAGCUCUGUUGUAAGAGAAGAACGAGUGUGAGAGUGGAAAGUUCACACUGUGACGGUAUCUGACCAGAAAGGGACGGCUAACUACGUG